GACGAACGCUGGCGGCGUGCUUAACACAUGCAAGUCGAACGCUGAAGCCCGCAGCUUGCUGUGGGUGGAUGAGUGGCGAACGGGUGAGUAACACGUGAGUAACCUGCCCUUCACUCUGGGAUAAGCGCUGGAAACGGCGUCUAAUACCGGAUACGACCAGUCCUCGCAUGGGGUGCUGGUGGAAAGCUCCGGCGGUGAAGGAUGGACUCGCGGCCUAUCAGCUUGUUGGUGGGGUAAUGGCCUACCAAGGCGACGACGGGUAGCCGGCCUGAGAGGGCGACCGGCCACACUGGGACUGAGACACGGCCCAG
rnacentral:rRNA from 1 species